rnacentral:lncRNA from 1 species
CUUGACGAAAUGAUUCAAACUGCUUAGGUGUAAUUGGCUUGGUAAGAACAUCCGCAAUUUGAUCUGAUGAUGGGACAAAGCUUACCUGCAGAACUCAAGUAAGAAUCUUUUCCCGAAUAAAGUGAUGAUCAAUUUCUACAUGUUUCAUUCGUGCAUUAUGUGUGGGGUUUGCAGCUAUAGCUACUGUUGAUGUAUUGUCGCACCAGAUCACAGGUAUCGACUGUGACAAACCAAUCUCAUCUACCAGUUGUUUAACCCACAAAAGCUCUGACACAUAGUUGGCGAGACUUCGAUAUUAUGCUUUAGAGGAUGACCUGGACACAACAUUUUGUUUCUUUGAACACCAUGCAACAGGGUUUGGCUCGAGGUACACGACAUACCCUGUGGUGGAAUGUCGAUCUUCAACAGACGAGGCCCAGUCAGCAUCUGAAUACCCAACAACCUCAACAUUCCCUUUGGUGAAAAUCAAACCAUGGUCAAUAGUCUCAAUAAGAUAUCUUAGCACACGUUUGACUGCUCUCCAAUGAGUCUCACUUGGACAAUUCAUAUACUGGCUCAACUUGUUAACACAAAAGGAUAAUUCUGGUCGAGUGAUGCACAAAUACUGGAGCAUCCCUACUGUACUUCGAUAUAGAGGAACAUCAGUGAAAUGAGAACUACCAUCUGAGACAAUUAAUUUUGGAACACUUACCAUAGGUGUAGGAACAGUUAUAGCUCCUAUCAUACCAGUCUUAGUAAGAAUUUCUAAUAUGUAUUUUUUCUGACUGAGCAACACCCCUUGCGCCAUAUGUUGUACUUCAAUACCUAAAAAAAAAAUCUAGUUGCC